AUUCCACGCGGCUCGAUCCCGCGUGCGGGCCUCUCUCAGGCCGCGCCUAGUGGACGCAGAGGCGGGCCGAGGACGCUGCAGAGAAAGUACCCUGGGCCAUGCAGCUGCCCUCCCCUCCCAGGAAAGGGGCAGGAUGGCUGCCCAGACGAGUGAGGCAUCAGCCCUGGUCCCCCAGGUCUUCCACAGUCCACUGGAACUGAUGGUGCCAGCCCCCAGGCCCCAAGAGGAGCUGGUCCCCGGGACAGAGGAGGGAGAGGAGCAAGAGGCUCCCCUGGGCCCCUUCCAGGCCCCACCUCCAGGGAUCUGGGCUGCACAGCCACCCCAUGCCUUGGACCACCUGGUCUGACCUGCACAGAGGCCUGGUGUGGACAUUGCCUGGGUAACAGCCACUGAGAUCCUCCAGCCUGGACAUGCUGCCCAUACUGUGUGGAGGGGACUACCCAGGGAUCCGGCCAGGGUGGAGUGGGUGAGGCAGACAUAGCUGUGUUUGGGUCAGGCGGUGUCCUCCAGCCUUCAGGAAUGGAGACGGGUCCAUCGUGUUCCUCACAAACUGGAGUCUCCACCUUCUUGACACUUGGGGCCCCACCCCGUGAAGCAAGGAGAGGAGAGUGGUGCCACUGUAGGGCCAGUGCAGGUCACAGGCGCGAGAUGGAGUCCCCAAGAGGGUGGACCCUGCAGGUGGCCCCAGAGGAAGGCCAGGUGUCACCUGGGGCCCAGUGACAGAAGCAGCCAUAUUCUAUGAGACCCAGCCCAGCCUGUGGGCAGAGUCCGAAUCGCUGCUGAAACCCUCGGCCAAUGUGACGCUGACGUGCCAGGCCCGCCUGGAGACCCCAGACUUCCAGCUGUUCAAGAAUGGGGUGGCCCAGGAGCCUGUGCACCUUGACUCACCUGCCAUCAAGCACCAGUUCCUGCUGACGGGUGACACCCAGGGCCGCUACCGCUGCCGCUCGGGCUUGUCCACAGGAUGGACCCAGCUGAGCAAGCUCCUGGAGCUGACAGGGCCAAAGUCCUUGCCUGCUCCCUGGCUCUCGAUGACGCCAGUGUCCUGGGUCACCCCCGGCCUGAAAACAACAGCAGUGUGCCGAGGUGGGCUGCGGGGUGUGACUUUUCUGCUGAGGCGGGAAGGCGACCAUGAGUUUCUGGAGGUGCCUGAGGCCCAGGAGGAUGUGGAGGCCACCUUUCCAGUCCAUCAGCCUGGCAACUAUAGCUGCAGCUACCGGACCGAUGGGGAAGGCGCCCUCUCUGAGCCCAGCGCUACUGUGACCAUUGAGGAGCUCGCUGCACCACCACCGCCUGUGCUGAUGCACCGUGGAGAGUCCUCCCAGGUCCUGCACCCCGGCAACAUGGUGACCCUCACCUGCGUGGCUCCCCUGAGUGGAGUGGACUUCCAGCUACGGCGCGGGGAGAAAGAGCUGCUGGUACCCAGGAGCAGCACCAGCCCAGACCGCGUCUUCUUUCACCUGAACGCGGUGGCCCUGGGGGAUGGAGGUCACUACACCUGCCGCUACCGGCUGCACGACAACCAAAACGGCUGGUCCGGGGACAGCGCGCCGGUCGAGCUGAUUCUGAGCGAUGAGACGCUGCCCGCGCCGGAGUUCUCCCCGGAGCCGGAGUCCUCCCCGGAGCCGGAGUCCGGCAGGGCCUUGCGGCUGCGGUGCCUGGCGCCCCUGGAGGGCGCGCGCUUCGCCCUGGUGCGCGAGGACAGGGGCGGGCGCCGCGUGCACCGUUUCCAGAGCCCCGCUGGGACCGAGGCGCUCUUCGAGCUGCACAACAUUUCCGUGGCUGACUCCGCCAACUACAGCUGCGUCUACGUGGACCUGAAGCCGCCUUUCGGGGGCUCCGCGCCCAGCGAGCGCUUGGAGCUGCGCGUGGACGGUGAGCUGGCGGGGCACCAGCGAGGGCGGGCGCGGGUUCAGUGCUCCUCGGGGCCUCCUGUCUUUCCCCUCUUUCCUUGGGCGUCCGACGGCGGCGCUCUGGGCCUUGGUUCAGCCCCCAUCGCCUACCCCGGCGGGGAGCAGGCGAUCGGUGGUCGAGGGUCUGGGGACGCCUGGAAUUUCGGCUUAUUUCCCACGGACGCAAGCUCGUAGGUCACGUGUAGCGUGGUGGUCGGCAGCAGGGAGGCUGGACCCAGGUUUUCUUGUUCAGAUCCCUGCAGCUCUGUGGCUGCCUUGUUUUCCUUACUGGCCAUGUCAGUCGUCAUACUGGACCCCCCGCCCCGGCCCCGGUCCCGCAGGCGCACGGCUGAUGUGUCCUUCUCCCCAUCCCCGCCGUCCCCAGCUCUGUUUUUCCCUCUGAUUUCUUCAUCGACGUCUCCAGGACUCAGAGCCCAGCAGAGCGUGAGGGCACAGGUCUGACCUCCAGAUCUUGAGGUCGUAGCCUUUGCUGGGGGCACCGUUUUCUCUUUUCUUUCUCUUUCUUUCUUUUCUUUCCUGCCUUCCUUCCUCUUUCUUUCUUUCUCUUUCCUUCUUUCUUUCUUCCUUCCUUCUUUCUCUCUUUUCUUUCUUCUUUUUUCUUCUUUCUCUCUCUCUCAUCUCUCCCCCCCAACCCCAUUUCUCUCCUUCAUUCCUCCCUUUUCUUCUCCUUUUUUUUUUUUUUUUUUGGAUAACUUACUUUUAUUCUUGCAGGCCGGAGUGCAGUGGUGCAAUCUCAGCUCACUGCAACCUUCGCCUUCUGGGUUCAGGCAAAUUGCUUUAACCCGGGAGGUGGAGUUUGCAGUGAGUCCAGGUCAUGCCACUGCAUUCCAGCCUGGGCAACAAGAGCAAAACUCCAUCUCAAAAAAAAAGAAAUGUUUAAUCUUUAAAUUGUACAUCUAUAUCCUAUGACUCCAAAUUUUAUUUAUCACACUCCUUAAAGUCUGAAGAAAAUGAUUAAUUUACUAAGCUCCACAGACAACACAGUCCCACUGACAUAACAUUUAGUAUGAUGUCCUACUCUCCUGUUAGAAUUAAGAACAGCCAGUAUCAAACUGGCCUGAAAUCUGAUUAGGUUCCUGGGCUCAGAAUAACUGUAGUAAAUUUGUAAAUCCACACUAAGACAAAAAAUUAAACUAGGAUGUGUAUAUCUAUCUUACAAGAAAACGUUUCACAGUAAAAAUUAACAUUAUGAUUUUACCAAAUUUCAACAUUAUAGUUUGUUAAUACAAUCAAGCUUUCAAAAUUCCUGAUUAGCUUACAAUUAAUUGCAAAUAACUUCAUGUUGUUUGGCCAGCAUUUCAAAAUGGAUAGGGAAUAUAACUUUUAAAAUGCGAAAGUAUAUUAUACAUAUUGCACUUUUCUGCUAGGCUGGGCUAGUAUCUUCCAUGGCAAGAUACUCAAACUAUUGAAUAAAAUACACAUUUAAAUC
rnacentral:sRNA from 1 species